AGAACGAACGCUGGCGGCAUGCCUAGUACAUGCAAGUCGAACGAACACUUCGGUGUUAGUGGCGCACGGGUGCGUAACGCGUGGGAAUCUGCCCUUGGGUUCGGAAUAACAGUUGGAAACGACUGCUAAUACCGGAUGAUAUCGAAAGAUCAAAGAUUUAUCGCCCAGGGAUGAGCCCGCGUAGGAUUAGCUAGUUGGUGAGGUAAAGGCUCACCAAGGCGACGAUCCUUAGCUGGUCUGAGA
rnacentral:rRNA from 1 species